UGAAGCACAGCUGAGCAGUGAGGCUCUGCUAUAAAAGGGACCUGCUAGGUUAGGAGACUAAAAAAAGUUAUCUGGGAGCUGAGAGUACAUAGACUGCUGCUGUGAUGCAGCAAUAAUGCAGGAAUAAUAGGCUUACAGCAAGACUCUGAGUGCAUAUCUAGAGAUUUAACCUCAGAUCUUUGAUUGUGGUUAAAGCUUUGAUUGUUGAAAGCUACUACAACAGCUGCUAGAGAGAAGAGGAAGUAGAUGUAUUUAAAAACUACUUUUUAUGGUUGGUACCAUGUAAGGGAAGGGGAGCAUAGCAAUGCCCAGUUCUCAGGAAAGAAAAACAAAAAUACUCUGAGUAGAGCGUUACUUUCUGCAACUAUCCCUAGUUUCCUGCUGUUUUCUGCUCUGGAUGGAGCAAAGGAGAAGGUCUAAGGCAAAUAAGAUUAGGAACUAGAAGCAAUUCUGAAAGUCUACAGCCUACACUGCAGCAGAAAAUCUGAGAAGCAGGAAAGCAUCACCUGUGCCAGCUGCAGAAGGAUUAGGAGAACCUGCCCAGUGUGUGUGAGAAGCCAAUAGCAGAGUGAGAAAUAAAUGCAUGAUGAGUGAUUCAGGCUCCAGGCUGGCCCAGCCCAAGGGGUGUGAACCUGCAUCAGCUCCUGAGCAGCUCCAUCCCACCCAAGGAACCUCUUGCCAUUGUCCCAUCAGGACUGAUGUGCUGCCAGAAACCAGAAAUAGCAUCCUGAAGAAGAAAAAAAAAAAGGGGGGGAGGAGGGGGGAAAUGUUUGUGCUGUAUCAAUGCAUUCUGGUUUGGGUAUUUUCAUAACAAAAUGUUUCUGGCCUUUGCUUGGAAAA